AGCUACAUAUCCUAUCAAGAAAACCCAUCCCAGGCACACAUGUGGGACAGUCUUUUCUCAGCUCUACAGUCAGUACAGAUUUAUCAUUUUAACCCAAGGAAACUAGAAUGGACAAAUAAACAAACAAAAUCCCUGAUAUUUAAGGGCCGUCAUUCCCUGCCUGCCUAAUC